ACACGACGGCGCGCGUGUGAACAGCUUGAAUGUCCGCCUGCCCGCGACGGGCUGCACGCCGCGCAGCCCGCCAGGCAGCCCGCCGGGUUGCGCGGCGCGCGUGUGAACGUAGCAUAAGAUUGGCCGAUUGCGAUAAAAACCAUAGAAAGAAGAAUAAUAACCAUAACCUCAAAGUCGAAGUUUUGUUCAAAUGUCAUUUAGUUGUUCAAAUGUCAUUGUCAUUUACUUUGUUUGGAUUACACACAUCAUGCCGAAAAUCCCGAAUCUCCGUGCAUUUGGUAAACAUUGUCACAAUUGUGGAAAGUGGAUGGAGCGAAGGGCUCUUCGUAAAGAUGGUGUGUAGUAUUUUAGUAGUGACAUGCAAUUUUUGUAAUGGCAAAAUAUUUGCAAGAGAUGGCAAACAAAAGCAAAUGUGCAGUCGAUGUGUGGAAUGCGACAACAUUAUACUCGGUCGAUAACGAAGAGUUGAAUGUUAGAACUUAUGAAAAUAUUAUUUACAACUCAUUUCGAGAAGCUGCUCAAGCAAGAGGGCUCCUUUUUGACGAUCAAGAAUGGGAAAGAUGUUUGAAUGAAGCAAUUGAUUUUAAACUUCCUCGGCAAUUAUUUCGAGUUCGAAGAUUCGAUGAUGUAAAAAUUCAAAUUAUCAAUACCACUGAACAAGGCUUGAAAGGUGAUAAAUAUUUAUCGAAAAAUGUUAUAUAUAGAGAAAUUUUGUGAAAAUCA